CAGUCGCCGCGGGAAUACGUAGGUGGCAAUCGUUGUCCGGAAUUAUUGGGCGUAAAGCGCGCGCAGGUGGUUUAAUAAGUCUGAUGUGAAAGCCCACGGCUCAACCGUGGAGGGUCAUUGGAAACUGUUAAACUUGAGUGCAGGAGAGAAAAGUGGAAUUCCUAGUGUAGCGGUGAAAUGCGUAGAGAUUAGGAGGAACACCAGUGGCGAAGGCGGCUUUUUGGCCUGUAACUGACACUGAGGCGCGAAAGCGUGGGGAGCAAACAGGAUUAGAUACCCCUGUAGUCCCUGUCUCUUAUAC
rnacentral:rRNA from 1 species